GUUGGAUAGCUCAGCGGGUAGAGCAACGCUUUAACAAGGCGUCUGUCGCGGGUUCGAAUCCCGCACCAACACCA
rnacentral:tRNA from 1 species